UACGUAGGCAGCGAGCGUUGUUCGGAGUUACUGGGCGUAAAGAGUGCGUAGGCGGUUUUCUAAGUUUGGUGUGAAAUCUCCCGGCUUAACUGGGAGGGUGCGCCGAAAACUGGAAGGCUUGAGUAUGGGAGAGGUAAGCGGAAUUCCUGGUGUAGCGGUGAAAUGCGUAGAUAUCAGGAGGAACACCAGUGGCGAAGGCGGCAUCCUGGCCAUGUCCUGACGCUCAGGGGCGAAAGCGUGGGGAGCAAACCGG
rnacentral:rRNA from 1 species